GACGAACGCUGGCGGCGCGCUUAACACAUGCAGGUCGAACGGAAAGGCCUGCUUUCCCUUGUGGAUUGCGGGUACUCGAGUGGCGAACGGGUGAGUAACACGUGAGUGAUCUGUCCCCAACUUGGGUAUAAGCCUGGGAAACUGGGUCUAAUUCCCGAUAGGACUGCAGGGUGGUGCCUGUGGUGGAAAACGAUUUUCUAGUGGUUGGGGAUGAGCUCGCGGCCUAUCAGCUUGUUGGUGGGGUAAUGGCCUACCAAGGCGGCGACGGGUAGCCGGCCUGAGAGGGUGGACGGCCACAUUGGGACUGAGAUACGGCCCAGACUCCUACGGGAGGCAGCAGUGGGGAAUAUUGCACAAUGGGCGGAAGCCUGAUGCAGCGACGCCGCGUGGGGGAUGACGGCCUUCGGGUGGUAAACUCCUUUCGACCGCGAGGAAGCCACCUGGUUGGAAGGGUGGUGACGGUAGUGGUAGAAGAAGCACCGGCUAACUACGUG
rnacentral:rRNA from 1 species